rnacentral:rRNA from 1 species
GAUGAACGCUGACAGCAUGCUUAACACAUGCAAGUCAACUUUGGCGGCCGGGUGAGUAACGCGUAAAUACCUUGCCUCACAGUUAGGGACAACAUUUGGAAACGAAUGCUAAUACCUGAUACUGUGAGCGAGCUUUGCGUCGCAUUAGCUAGUUGGAGAGGUAACGGCUCACCAAGGCGAUGAUGGGUAGCAGGCCUGUGAGGGGGAUCGGCCACAAGGGGACUGAGAGACGGCCCUUGCGACUACGGGACGCAGGAGUGGGGAAUAAUGGACAAAGGACCAGAGUCUGAUCCGGCAAUUCGGUGGGAACGAUGAAGUUUUCGGAAGGUAAAGUGCUUUAAGUUGGGAAGCGGUACCAACAGAAGAAGUGACGGCUAAAUACGUGCCAGCAGCCGCGGUAAUUC